rnacentral:lncRNA from 1 species
AUAGAAACCUAACACCUACAAUCAAGAAGGGGAACAAAAAAAUACCUUGAGGCCUAAGGAAGAAAAUGGGUUUUGCUCAAAAAAUGACACUCCCCAACGUUGCUUCUUCCUGAAUACACCCUAAGCACAAAGCAACAAUAGAGAACACAAAAAAUACCAAACGAUUCCGCUGCAACUUCAUCUUCUUCGACACCCAUCGAAGACCCCUAACGAUGAAAUCGCCGGAACAACCUCAGACCUGCAUAAAAUCCGGCGAACCAGUGUUUUCAAUGAGUUUUUGAGUUAGCCAAGGUCGAUUCCGGUCGAGAUUUGUGGAUAGGAUAAUGGAAUCACACCGAAAAUGGUAAAUCUUGCCUGAAAUGGGGACUAACAGUGGCGAAAUCUUCAGAUCUAGCGUCAAUUUGUAAAACCUUCAGAUCCGGUCUUCAUCUCGAAUUUUCCUGUCUCCUUUAAAAAAAUCCAGCGGGUUUCUUUUUCGUUGCCAUUGUUGAACCGAGUUCAUUGAAGAUCCGAGGUCGAUCGAUUGGGGUGCUAUUCAAAGUCGUUUUGUUCGAGCUCCGUCCGUCUCCAAUUUCGGCGUUAGUAGUUGGCUUACGUUGCUUAUGUAAUUGCUGAAAAUUUCCAUUAAUCGAAGCUUUAAUUUCAGGUCUGUUUUUCUUUUUCCUUUCUUUACUUUCUUUGAUAUUGAAGUUCAUGUGAAUGAAGUGUGUUUUUCUCACUGUUUAUUUUGUUCUGAUUUAGUUGUUAAGUUUCAUUAUUAGCUUAGUUAGCAAAUUUCUUAUCCAUGUAAUUCUCUGUUAAAACUAAUGUUUACCGAGCAAAAAGUCGUUCUGUUUCUUGUUGAGGUUAUUGGUAAGUUUGUAAUUACUAGUAUUUGCUUUUCUGACUCAUGCAUAUAGAUUUCUUACGUUCCUUUCUUUGUCAUAUGAGUAAUUUUGUAUACAUAAAAGCCACAGACCUCCUAAUGGUGCUUGUUCCUUAUUGUGAUGAUGGUCUCUUCAGAAGCACUAUGAACGAGUUUUAAUUUCGUUAUGCAAGAAAUUUGAGUCUUUUUGUUAAUGCCUUUGCAUGUGGAGGUCCUUAAUCAAGUGUAAACAAGAAGAGGGGAAAGGAAAUACUUUAAGAAGUGGCAGUGGAAAACACCCUCUAAUGGUCUAGGCAGAAAAUCAGGCAUUGCAAAUUGGCCAAAGUUGAUAAUGAUAUAUUACUGGUGUAUUGUGUUGAUAAAAUAAAAGAACCAAAAGAUCUUCAGGCAUUAAGCACGUUAAUUAUAUAAUUAUCAUGUUAUAAAUUCGGGUGUGCAUUUAUGUGAUCCAAAUCCAAAUUUCAAAUAACGUUAGAUAAAAUGUGUCAUGGACCGCGAGUGCAUUUAUGUGACGUGGUUCAAGACAUGUUUUAGAUGACGUUGAAUCUUUUUCGUAAAAAUAAUUAAAUAAAAGCGGUUAAUAAGUUAAAAUUGAAUCAUAGGCUAAAACAUGUAUUUAAAUCAGAUAAUAAGCCAAUUGUAACAGUUGAACGACCGUGCUAAAACCACGAAAAUCGGGAAUGCCUAAUACCUUCUCCCGGGUUAACUGAAUUCCUUACCCGGAUUUCUGUGUUCGCGGACUGUAAUAUAGAGUCAAUAUUUUCCUUAAUUCGGGAUUUGAAUCGGUGACUUAGGACACCAUAAAAUUAUCCCAAGUGGCGACUCUGAAUUUAAUAAAUAAAUAAUCUCGUUUCGAUUGUCACUUUAAGUUGGAAAAAACUCCCUCAUACCCUUACGGGAGUGUAGGAAAAAGGAGGUGUGACAGCUCUGGCGACUCUGCUGUGGAUAAGAACCAAGAACUUCUGGUUCAGGUUCAAGAAUUCGAGCUUAGAAUAAUUGUUAUAUUUGGCUAUAUUUAUCUGAUUUUAUUACGUGUUUGGGCCUAACGUGCUAAAUGUUACUUUUUACCGUUUUGAUAUUAUUUGAACUGUAUAUAAACUGCUACGAAACCCCUCUCUUCUCUCUCCUGAGGAGUGCACGCUGGCGUGACUUCUUUCUGUUAGUGUCAUAUCCCAAAUAGAACGAGGUUCGGACAAGUUGCAGAUCUGGAUGAUCUUUUGAUUACCGGUACGCAGCCCCCCGGCUCGAGUUGUCCGCUCGGGUAAGCCAGGUCUAGAAUAAUAAACCCAUGUUUUAAACCUAGUAUAACAAAGCCUCAUGCCGGAUCCCUAGUAGGAACGCUUGUCUGCAUCAUGCGCAUUUGACUUUGGAGACUCAACACAGGGGUUGGGUCUGUCUAGGACAUGUAUACCCAAAAUGAAAAGAUCAUCCUAAUGCAUUCUACUUGCUACUUGUGCAUUAUUGCUUUAGAUUUGUGUGUCGGCUUCUAGAAUAGGGAAAGAAAAUAAAAAAAAUGAAUGAAAAAGAAAAUCAAAAAGAAGAAGAAGUGAGAGGUAGCUAUUCCAAGUCCGAAACGCUGCCCGAAUUUUCAAAAAAAAAAGAGAGAAAAAAAAUAAGUGAUUGUUUUCAAAAGUCAUGUUUCCCCUGUUCCGUCAAAACUGAGCGAACUACGCGGGUCUGAUUCUCACCGGAUGUGAGAUACGUAGGCAAACCUCAUCGGUUCCGGCCCACAAUUUUUUUUUAAAAAUCCAAAAAUAUUUUCCAUUACUUAUUUAUAAUGUCUUUCGUUUGACCCUAAUUUUUUUAAAAAAAAUAUUUUCUUUUAAUUUCUUCUCAAAAUCAAAAAAUACUUUCAUUAUUCUUUCAAAAAUUAAAAAGAAAAUUCAAGAUUCAAAAAUAUUUUCUUUUUCUUUAGAAGCAUUUCUUUCAUAAAUUCAAAAUAAAUUCCNNNNNNNNNNNNNNNNNNNNNNNNNNNNNNNNNNNNNNNNNNNNNNNNNNNNNNNNNNNNNNNNNNNNNNNNNNNNNNNNNNNNNNNNNNNNNNNNNNNNNNNNNNNNNNNNNNNNNNNNCUUCUUUAGAAGUCUUUCUUUUCAAAAAUUCUGAAGAAAAAAUCAAAAUCAUAAUCCAAAAUAUUCUCUUUCUUCUUUAUAAGUUAGUUUAUUUCCUUUAUUCCUAAUCUUCCCGAACUAUGCAACAUCUGAUUCAUGUUCCCACAUGAUACAUAGGCAACCCACAUCAGGUUCGAUCAACCAUUCAAAAGAAAGAUGAGAAAAAAAAUGAAGAAAAGGAAAAAAAUGAAAAAUAUUGAUAAUAAUGACCGACUGAGUCCAUUCUAACAUGUUUUGUUUUGAAUUGUGAAGAAAGUUGAGGUGGUCGGUUUGUGGUAAGCUAAGAACACAAGAUCCAAGGAAAAAUGAUAACUGACAUCGAAGCUGUUACAAGUGCUCAAGAGACUCAGGGCCAGAAGGUUCAACAAGAGUCUACUGUGUUUGAGAAAAAUAGAAUACUGAAACAGCAAACGACCGAAAUGUGUCAAGCAUGGGCCAGUGGUCAAGGACAACCUCGUCAUGAGUCACAAUUUGCUACACAACAAGAACAGUACCACUCUCCUGAGUACCAUUCGUACUCGUUUGAUCUUCCUACAAAGAUUGAGAAGCCUGCCCGAAAGAUGGUACAGGAAGAAAUGACCCAACGAGUGAAAAGCUUAGAACAACGGUUGAAAAAUAUGCAAGGGUUGGCAGGUCAAAGAGUGUUGCCUUCAAAGAUCUAUGUAUGUUCCCCGAUAUCCAGUUGCCGCCUGGUUUCAAGACUCCCAAAUUUGAAAAGUAUGAUGGACAUGGAGAUCCCAUAGCCCACCUGAAAAGGUAUUGCAAUCAACUGAGAGUUGCGAGAAGAAAUGAAAAAUUAUUAAUGGCUUAUUUUGGGGAAAGCCUUACGGGAGUAGCCUCCGAAUGGUUUAUGGAUCAAGACACGUCUCGCUGGUAUGUCUGGGAUGACAUGGCACAGGCCUUUGUCAAACAGUUCCAAUACAAUAUUGACAUUGUCCCAGACUGCAAUUCCCUUUCAAACUUGAAGAAGAAACCAACUGAAAGUUUCAGAGAAUAUGCCAUUAAAUGGAGAGAGCAAGCAACCAGAGUUAAGCCACCCAUGGAUGAGCACGAGUUAAUCACUGUCUUCUUUCAAGCUCAAGAGCCAGAUUAUUUUCAAAACAUGAUGUCCGCAGUGGGUAAAUCCUUCUCGGAAGCAAUCAAAAUGGGGGAAAUGAUUGAGAAUGGUCUUAAGACAGGCAAAAUUAUAAGUCAAGCAAUUCUCAAAGCCGCAACUCAGGCUGUCCCGAUUGAAUCCGAUAAUUUUAGUGACACGAAUGAGAAGCACGAAGAAAUCAUGAUGACAUCAGGGUCGAGAAGAGGUCCUAGGAGAGCAUCUCAAAGGUAUGAGCAACCUCAUCAGGUUUCCCAUGAUUCCCCUGAAUACUAUCAUCCACUUUAGAACCCUCAAUACUCUGUUGCUGCACCUCAGUAUGUCGCCCGACCACCAAGAUACCUCAGAAGGCGAGCACCAGCACCGCAAAAUCUCCACCAGCCUCCACAAAAUUUUCAAAUGCCCUAUAACCCACAUCCAAGCCAGGGGAAUAGAAGGGAACAAAGGCUAAAAGAUAAUUUUACACCAAUAGGAGAGUCCUAUGCAAGUUUGUUUGAGAAAUUAAAGCAUUAUGACAUGAUUGCUCCUAUUUCUCUAAAUCAUGUGGACCCACGUGCAAGAAGAUUUGACCCUUCUCAAAGGUGUAAAUACCAUUCCAAUGCCUAGGGGCACAAUGUUGAAAGCUGUCGGGAUUUGAAAAGAGAAAUAGAAAGGAUGAUCCAGGAAACCCUGAUUGUUAUCCAAGACAGUGACACCCAGAAUAUCGCGCAGAAUCCUUUACCUGCCCAUCACGAUGCACACUUUGUGGGGAUGAUGGCUGGUGACAUGGAGUAUGAGAAUCCUCUCGGGAACUUGCUAACUGAAGUUAAUGAUGGUGAAAUUGGAGAAGGCUCUACUGAUUCUGAUGAGCAAAUUUGUGGCUAAAUGUCAAGCCUAGCAAUUGAAAAGUCAUUCCCUCCUCACUAGGAAGGAAUCUUGGUAGCUUGCUUUGAUGUUUUUUCUAUUAUCUGGGUUAUUUCAGGGUUGUGAUCCAGAUUUUAUUUAUUUUAUUGAGUCAAAACCUUCUAUCUCUCCAUUCUGUUUGUGUGGGUCUUGUCUGUCUGUUCUGUUGCUAUUUUCAUUAUUCGGGUUAUUUUAGGGUUGUAACUCGUAUUUUGGGUUGCUUGUUUAGUUGUAAAACCCUUUCAUCCUUUACUCAAUAAAAUACAGUUUGUCCUUUUGUGUUAUUCUGUUCCUAGUUCUUUUGUCGCUAGUUCUAAUGACAUGACAUGCAUGCGGAAAUUUUGGCCAGAUCUUAGGUACUGAUUUAAUCUGGAAUUGGAUAACUAAACAAAAUAUAAAAAAAUACAUUUGAGGAUGAAUAAAGAGUUGGAGUACUUUGGAACUAAGGUUGAGUAAAAUUCACUUUCAAAUCAUUGUGAAGAUCGGGCUUGAGGAUGUUUAAUCAAUUGAAGCUUGUUGGAAAGUUUGUCACUAAGGGAUGAAAAAAUGUAUUGUGACCACGGUACACCAAGAAGACAGACAUGUUCAUCAAUGCUGUGAUCGCGAAAAGAUACCAUGUUUGGCAUUCUCGAGGUUGGGAGGCCCUUUUUCUGCUACCCAAACACUUUAUAUCCUUCGCUACCCCUUUUAAGUCUGUGUUAUUUUCUUUGACUACCCUCUUUUGGAAUCAAGUUUAGAGUCAAAAAAAAGUUCAUGUCCCAAGAGUACAAACUGGGGCAAUUCUUAGAAAGUUAAAAAAAAAAAAGAUUUGUCAAAGGUCCAUGCCCUAAAAAUAGGAGCUGGGGCAACUUGCUUUGAAAACAAAAGAAAAAGAAAGAAAAGAAAAGAAGAAAAGAAAAGAAAAGAAAAAACAACAAAAAGUAAAAUGAAAAAAAUUAGUUAGGUCAGAUGUUUGAACUACGUUCGACCUGUUUCCUUAAAAAAGGAUACGUAGGCAGCCCCACGAAUCGGUCCAACCAAAUAAGAAUUCAGAAAAGAAAAAAAAAUUCAAAAAAAAUUCCCUAGUAUCUGAAACUGGGGCAAAAUUUUUAUUUUAUUUUUGAAAUAGUCGAUUCCAAGAGUUGUAAGUCUACACCCCCUUUUAUUUUGAGUCUACGUUAAGCCUUCAUGCCGACCCUUCUGUCCAACCCUAUCCAAAACCAUCCAGAUAAACACCUCCCAAUAUGCCUUCAAGAAUUCCAAGAGAAGCAUGCAAUGAGCAAUGGAUGUCACGCGACAUAAAGCACUGUCAAGUUGCUCGCACAAGAAAAAGAAAAAGACAAAGAAAAAGAAAAAUGAGAGAGUCUUAUUAGUGAAAAUCCUCACGGGCACUGUAAGGCGAUGGUAAGCAGAGAUGAAUAAAUGAGAAAGACUUGUUGGUGAAAACCCCUUGGGGCACCACUAGUCGAAAGUGAGUCAUGAAGCUGAUGCAAAGAAUUGGCACGAACAAGCUCGACUUCAAAGGUCAUAAGAACAGUAAAAUGGAAGAUUGGAUUAGUUUGAUAGAUCAGGCCGUUGAGUCCAAAAUACAUGUCAUGAUCAUUAAGGCUAGUUAUUGAAAAAAAAACCUUCCUUCUAUCUUUCCCGGCAUGGACAUUUCUUGUUAAUAUUAUCUCUUUGCAUUAUUUGUGUCCUCCACUCUAAGUCAGUCUUUGUCAAAACAAGUAAGAAAAGAUUUCAAAAUCUGCUACCAACUUUUCAUUUGCAAAGUAAAUUUGGCCAGCACACUCAGUUGUUACUGUCAACAUGCCUUGAGGAUUCAUGCAAAGGCUCCCCCUAAAGACAUGCCUUGUCAGCGGCGCAAGCAAAGACUGCCAACAUGCCUUGUCAGCGGCGCAAGCAAAGACACCUCGUGAUUCUCUCUGACGGACAAAUUGCUCAAAAGCAGGAAGUCGUUUCAAGAUAUCAGAAAAUGUCACCUAAGGAAAGAUCUCCAGUUGGGAUAAGGUUGAUUGAGCCACAAAUACAAAUGGUACUUGGGUGUGAAACAAUCAGGGUUAAUGUAGAGCAAAAGUCUCUUGAGACCGACUCGAGUAAAAUCCAAACUGCCCAAGACUCAAGGCCACAAACUGACCACCAUUUUCAAAACUGAUAAAUUUUUCUUUGCGUGAAACAGGAACAAAGCAGUGCAAUUAAAGUGGUUCAAAAAAAAAUAAAAAAAAAAAGAAAGAGAAGAAAAAGAAAAGAAGAGAAGAGACUACAAAGGGAAGUUUCUCAAAUCUCUGCCUUUAUUUGUCUUGCUAUGUGCAUAAAAUCUUGCCAUUGAUCUUUACAUUUUUCCUCCUAGGAUAAAAAGUCCCAGUCUGAUGGAUUUUCUCCCAAUAAAAUCUUAGUCUUAUGAAUUUUUCUCCUAAGAUAGAAGACUUAGUCUGAUGAACUUUCUCCUAGGAUCGAAAUCUUAGUCUGAUGAAUCUUUCUCCUAAGAUACAAAAAAAAAAGACAUAGUCUGAUGAAUUUUCUCCUAGGAUCAAAAUCUUAGUCUGAUGAAUCUUUUUCCUAAGAUAUGAAAACCUAGUCUGAUGAACUUUCUCCUAGGAUAAACAUCUUAGUCUGACGAAUCUUNNNNNNNNNNNNNNNNNNNNNNNNNNNNNNNNNNNNNNNNNNNNNNNNNNNNNNNNNNNNNNNNNNNNNNNNNNNNNNNNNNNNNNNNNNNNNNNNNNNNNNNNNNNNNNNNNNNNNNNNNNNNNNNNNNNNNNNNNNNNNNNNNNNNNNNNNNNNNNNNNNNNNNNNNNNNNNNNNNNNNNNNNNNNNNNNNNNNNNNNNNNNNNNNNNNNNNNNNNNNNNNNNNNNNNNNNNNNNNNNNNNNNNNNNNNNNNNNNNNNNNNNNNNNNNNNNNNNNNNNNNNNNNNNNNNNNNNNNNNNNNNNNNNNNNNNNNNNNNNNNNNNNNNNNNNNNNNNNNNNNNNNNNNNNNNNNNNNNNNNNNNNNNNNNNNNNNNNNNNNNNNNNNNNNNNNNNNNNNNNNNNNNNNNNNNNNNNNNNNNNNNNNNNNNNNNNNNNNNNNNNNNNNNNNNNNNNNNNNNNNNNNNNNNNNNNNNNNNNNNNNNNNNNNNNNNNNNNNNNNNNNNNNNNNNNNNNNNNNNNNNNNNNNNNNNNNNNNNNNNNNNNNNNNNNNNNNNNNNNNNNNNNNNNNNNNNNNNNNNNNNNNNNNNNNNNNNNNNNNNNNNNNNNNNNNNNNNNNNNNNNNNNNNNNNNNNNNNNNNNNNNNNNNNNNNNNNNNNNNNNNNNNNNNNNNNNNNNNNNNNNNNNNNNNNNNNNNNNNNNNNNNNNNNNNNNNNNNNNNNNNNNNNNNNNNNNNNNNNNNNNNNNNNNNNNNNNNNNNNNNNNNNNNNNNNNNNNNNNNNNNNNNNNNNNNNNNNNNNNNNNNNNNNNNNNNNNNNNNNNNNNNNNNNNNNNNNNNNNNNNNNNNNNNNNNNNNNNNNNNNNNNNNNNNNNNNNNNNNNNNNNNNNNNNNNNNNNNNNNNNNNNNNNNNNNNNNNNNNNNNNAAAGAAGUAGAAAAGAGACCUAGUCUGAUGAACUUUCUCCUAGGAUCAAAAUCUUAGUCUGAUGAAUCUUUCUCCUAGGAUAAUAAUUUUAAAAAAAAGGAAGUUUGAAUUUGAAAAAAAAGGGGAGUCAUUUUUUUUAGUUUUCUUAAGAUUAUCAAUGUUUAGUUUUCCUUAAAUCCGGGGGCCCCGCCUGAAGAAUAGGGUCAGUUUUUACUUUAGUCAAACUUAGUAUAUAGUUUUCCGCAAGCUCAAUCUUGUUUAAGAGAUGCACAUACUAGUCGAGUCAUUAAUUUUACUCUCAUCAUUGCAUCGUUCAUCAGUAGCGCAAUUGAUUUAUAUUUUUGUUAACACUCACAGAUGUUCCCAAUAUCAAACUGGGGCAGGAAAAUUUCUUUUGUUUUGUCUGUUUUGUUGUAAUCAGGCGCUCACCUGGAGAACAAAGAAAGACAACUCAAGUUUCAAGGGAAAGCAAUUUCGAAGGAAGACAACUCAAGUUUCAAGAGAAAGCAGUUUCGAGGAAAGACAACUCAAGUUUAAAGGGAAAGUAUUUUCGAGGGAAGGCAACUCAAGUUUCAAGGGAAAGCAGUUUCGAAGGAAGACAACUCAAGUUUCAAGGGAAAGCAGUUUCGAGGGAAGACAACUCAAGUUUCAACGGAAAGCAGUUUCGAAGGAAGAUAGUUCAUGUUUCAAGGGAAAAUGGUUCAAGGUGCAAGGGAAAACAAUGUCAAGUAACAAGAGAAGACGGUUCAAGUUCAGCAAUAAGGCACCCACCUAAAAAAAAAGGGAAUUCAAUUAAGAAUGCAAUUCAGGUCAGCAACAAAAGAAGCUCGCGUCAAUAAUGUGAGUCAGCAGUCCAAGAUGAUCAACAGAAGUAGUCUCAAUCCAAAAAAAAAAGAAGAAGAAAAAAAAGAAAAAGAAAAAAUAAGUGAAUCCAAAGUGCAGAAGCGGAGAAAGAUGUGGACUACUCGAGACUUGAUUGAAGUCAUAAGCUUUGCAUGUCUCGUCUUGAUCCGAAAAAGCUGAAAAAGAUUGAACCAACACCUGCAGCUAACAAGCAUCAAGAUUCAAAUCAGAGUCCGCAUGAAGAACCAACCAAGACUCAAGAUCAAGCUUUAGAAAACUCAUAGAUAGGAAUCUUGUAACUUGUUGCUGACAGGCUUAGUUAGUCUUUUUCAUUUUUGAUUUUGAUGCAAUAACGGGACUGCGGACCGAAACCUCGACGGCACCUCAAUCGGCUCUCCACCUCGGUAUACUCCAUCACCUCACUCACCUCUGAACUACAUGUGUCCUGAUUCCUUUAUAGCCAAGGAUAUGUAGGCAGCUCAGAUACUAGGGCUCAGUCACAUUCCCCUUUUCUCUUAGUUUUGAUCUCCUUAAAUAAGGGUAGGGUCAAAAAAUCUGUCUAGUCGUUCUUUGUCUAAAAAUACUUCAUCUUUCCAGUAAAAAAGGGGCAGCUGUAGACAUGUGAUUUUUGACCCUCCCCAAGAUUUUUUAUAUUUUAACACGCAAAUAUUUAAUUUAGGCCUAAUAUAUCUAUUUCAACUCAUUUUUACUCUUUUACUUUAUUUUAUUACAAGAAAACGAAAAUUACAAAAAAUAGUUUCAUUAAUAUUUUGUAGUCAUUUUUAAUCUUGAAAAAUACGAAAAAUAGUUUUUUUUAAUGGUCAGUCUUAUUUCAAUAGUUAUUUUAUUUAUGUAAAAUUAAUUAAUAAAUAGGGUAGCAUUUUUAGUCUCGUUUGCGGGGAAAGAAUAAAAUUUGGGCUCGAGCAACCCAUUUUUAGGCCUAAUUUUGGACCUAACCCAUAAUUCCUAGGCCCAUACCCCUAACCUAAUCUCUACCCCUAUAUAAUAGUACCUAACACCUAAAUAUAGGGAGAUGCACUGAAAAUCACAAGCAGCCGUUUUUUACAAUAGAAACCUAACCCCUACAAUCAAGAAGGGGAACAAAAAAAAUACUUUAGAGGCCUAAGGAAGAAAAUGGGUUUUGCUCAAAAAAUGAUACUCCCCAACGUUGCUUCUUCCUGAAUACACCCUAAGCACAAAGCAACAGCAGAGAACACAAAAAAUACCAAAUGAUUCCCCUGCAACUUUAUCUUCUUCGACACCCAUCGAAGACCCCUAACGAUGAAAUCGUCGGAACAACCUCAGACCUGCAUAAAAUCCGGCGAACCAGUGUUUGCAAUGAGUUUUUGAGUUAGCCAAGGUCGAUUCCGGUCAAGAUUUGUAGAUAGGAUAAUGGAAUCACACCGAAAAUGGUAAAUCUCGCCUGAAAUGGGGACUAACAGUGGCGAAAUCUUCAGAUCUAGCGUCACUUUUUAAAACCUUCAGAUCCGGUCUUCAUCUCGGAUUUUCCUGUCUCCUUUAAAAAAUCCAGCGGGUUUCUUUUUCGUUGCCAUUGUUGAACCGAGUUCAUUGAAGAUUCGAGGUCGAUCGAUUGGGGUGCUAUUCGAAGUCGUUUUGUUCGAUAUCCGUCCGUCUCCAAUUUUGGCGUUAGUAGUUGGCUUACGUUUCUUGUGUAAUUGCUGAAAAUUUCCGUUAAUCGAAGUUUUAAUUUCAGGUCUGUUUUGCUUUUUCCUUUCUUUACUUGCUUUGAUAUUGAAGUUCAUGUGAAUGAAGUGUGUUUUUCUCACUGUUUGUUUUGUUCUGAUUUAGUUGUUAAGUUUCAUUAUUAGCUUAGUUAGCAAAUUUCUUAUCCAUGUAAUUCUCUGUUAAAACUAAUGUUUACCGAGCAAAAACUCAUACUAUUUCUUGUUGAGGUUAUUGGUAAGUUUGUAAUUACUAGUAUUUGCUUUUCUGACUCAUGCAUAUAGAUUUCUUACGUUCCUUUCUUUGUCAUGUGAGUAAUUUCGUAUACAUAAAAGCUACAGACCUCUUAAUGGUGCUUGUUCCUUAUUGUGAUGAUGGUCUCUUCAGAAGCACUAUGAACGAGUUUUCAUUUCGUUAUGCAAGAAAUUUAAGUCUUUUUGUUAAUGCCAUUGCAUGUGGAGGUCCUUAAUCAAGUGUAAACAAGAAGAGGGGAAAGGAAAUACUUUAAGAAGUGGCAGUGGAAAACACCCUCUAAUGGUCUAGGCAGAAAAUCAGGCAUUGCAAAUUGGCCAAAGUUGAUAAUGAUAUAUUACUGGUGUAUUGUGUUGAUAAAAUAAAAGAACCAAAAGAUCUUCAGGCAUUAAGCACGUUAAUUAUAUAAUUAUCAUGUUAUAAAUUCGGGUGUGCAUUUAUGUGACCCAAAUCCAAAUCUCAAACAACGUUAGAUAAAAUGUGUCAUGGACCGCGAGUGCAUUUAUGUGACGUGGUUCAAGACAUGUUUUAGAUGACGCUGAAUCUUUUUCGUAAAAAUAAUUAAAUAAAAGCGGUUAAUAAGUUAAAAUUGAACCAUAGUCUAAAACAUGUAUUUAAAUCAUAUCAUAAGCCAAUUGUAACAGUUGAACGACCGUGCUAAAACCACGGAACUCGGGAAUGCCUAAUACCUUCUCCCGGGUUAACAGAAUUCCUUACCCGGAUUUCUGUGGUCGUGGACUGUAAUACAGAGUCAAUAUUUUCCUCGAUUCAGGAUUUGAACCGGUGACUUGGGACACCAUAAAAUUAUCCCAAGUGGCGACUCUGAAUUUAAUAAAUAAAUAAUCCUGUUUCGGUUGUCACUUUAAGUUGGAAAAAACUCCCUCAUACCCUUACGAGGGUGUAGGAAAAAGGAGGUGUGACACUGUGGAUGUGGAGUAGCAAUUGGAAUGGAGCCCAUGGCCUGAGCUCUAAUGAAAUCCACCUCUACCGAGUCUGGGACAAUCUCUCAUGAUGUUCUAGCAUCACCACGCUCUUAACAACCCCUCUGCGGGCGUGGCUGCUCGUAUUGAGUCUACGCCGAAUAAUUGGAAUAACUGUUAUAGGAACCUCGUGCGGGUGGUGCACUAAAAGAUGAUGGCCCCAUAUGAGUACCCUGAGGUCUGGAGCACCACGAGUAGUCUGAAGUGCAGAAUGGACUGGCCGACUACCUGUGCCUCCGUCAUAAUGGGUCAUAGUUGAAGAGUAGAAUCCACUAUAUCCUCCAGAACCUUGAGACCUCUUGGCCUCCUUAUCCUCUCUCUACUCACCCCGAAUAUGCUCUAACCUACUGAGAAUUUCUACAACCUGCUGAAAUAGGGUAUCAGUCUCCAAUUCCCGAGCCAUGCUAAAUCUAAGACCAUAACUGAGCCCCUCGAUAAUUCUGCGGACUCACUCUUUAACUAUAGGAACCAAAUUAGGUGCAUUAUGGCAUACCCUGACACCAUCAAUGUGCCCUGGCGCAGCUGCUUGAACUCUGUGCGCCACACACCACGAAGGUCUGGGGAAAAAACUCCCUAAAAACAUCUAUAAAAACUGAGUCUAAGUGAGUGGUGCUGCAUCAGUUGGCCUACCCUCCUCAUAAGCCUGCCACCACUAAUACACUUCUCCCGGUAGCUGAAAUGUAGUAAAAGAAACCCUGCUCACCUCCAAACUAGCUAUGGUACGGAGAAUAAGGUGACACUUCUCAUGAAAACCCUGUGCAUCCUCAAUAGUUGUGCCACUGAAAGGAGGUGGACCAUACUUCUUGAACCUCUCAAACCUCUUUUGCUCCUCCUCUGAUGCCCCUGGCCUGACCUCAGGUUAAACUAGAAUAAUAGGCUGUACCGGCACCACCACAUCCAGAGUAUGACCAAUAUGAUCCUGUUGCUCUGUAAACGGACGACGGGAGUCUGAGCUCCUCCCCCAAUCAGUAAAGUAGCUCGUGCAACGGAGAUCAAUCUUGCCUAAGCCAAUGUAUCAAACAUACUUAGGAACUGCGCUAAAGUCUGCUAAAGUUCGGGGGUAAUAAUAGGCACCUCUGGUGCCUGUCCCCCAACUAGAGCUACUAGUUGCUCUUCAACUGCUACUCUAGUAGGUGCUCUAGCUGCGGCACGUGCCCCUCACGGUCCUCUACCCCGGCCUCGGCGUAUCGCGGCUCUAACAGGGGGUGCGGGUGUCUGCUUGGCUGACCCAAUAGCAUGUGUCCUCACUAUCUGUGAGAGAAUAGAGAUAUUAAAGGCUUAAACUUCGAAAUCAUAAAAUUCACACAAACAGAAAAGAAAGAAGUGGAAUUUUCCUAAUAGUUACGCAGCCUCUUGAAGAUAAGUACAGACCCCUCCGUACCGAUUCUCAAGACUCUACUAAACUUGCUCGUGACUCGUAGAACCUAUGAACCUAAAGCUCUGAUACCAAUUUAUCAUGACCCAAAAUCCCGCCUUAGGCAUCGUGAUGGACCCUGGUCUCUAAUACUAGGUAAGCCGAUUACUUACAAUAAUUUAAGCCAGUUUAACAAUGAUAUUUUAAAACAAAGUUUAAUAUAUAAACCGAAAUAAAGGUUAACAAGCCUACGCGACAAUAAUCACAACAACCUCCCAAGACUAUAUAAUACAGAGUCACGAACUCUAACAGAAUACAUAGAAAGAUCUCAAAAAAUCAAAAUACAAUAUUGUUCAGAUAUCAAGCUGACAGUACAAUAAAAAGGAGACUGUGAUGACCAAGCAACUUUACCUUGAAUCCUCGCGAUCAAUAAGCUAACUCUGCCUGAGUCCGAUAUUUCCAAUACCUCGAUCUGCACAAAAAUGUGCAAAAGUAAAGUAUGAGUACACCACGAUUAGUACACAGUAAGUAUCAAGACUAAUAUCGGUAGUAGUAACGAGGUACAAGUCAAGAUACCUACUAGUCAAAAUGACGUGUGCAAUUUAGAAGUAUAAAGCUAAUAAUGAAAUCAAGAAUCAGUAAAUGGGAACAAGAAUCAAUAUGUGUUAUAAACAAUAAAGUAAUAAGAACACCAUUAAAGUACCAUUGAAACCAAAUAAGGAAAAUAAAUAACAAUCAAUUAAUCAAGCCGUUCUAAUACAAGUCUCACAACGAAUUUACUCGGAGAUACCUCAUCUCAUAAUUACAAGUCAUGAGUCCCAAAUCCCGAAUAUGCUCACGACACCUCGCGCCCACAUUUUCAAUCACCACCGUACAGACAACACACAUGCUAAUAUCUCAAUCCGCUCAGCAUGGUUACAUGACCACAAUUAGGAUGGGAGCAGAUAAUAUAAGAAUAUAUGGGCAUGAUCAAUGAAUGUCAGGUUUCAUACUCCUAAACAGGUGUAGGUGGCAUGCUACGGUGUAUGCUUGUGCGAAUGUACUAUCACAAUCCAAGUCAACAAGAAUGUCAAAGGCAUCAAGUAUCCCAUUGAAAGCAACACAACAAGUCACGUAAGGUGCAUGGCAUACACAAGGAAAUCACACCUUCACACGAAUAUCAUCAACAUAAUACCCCAGGCCAUCACAUAUCAUCCCUGACAUAGCCAUCCUUAUUUCUCCAUAUUGAUAACAUCAUAAUAGCCACACUUAUUGCUCCGCCCAGAUAUUUAACAUAAUAGCCACCUGUAUCACUCUGAUUGCCACCUGUAUCACUCCAAUAGCUACCUGUUUCACUCUACAUCAACUCCAAGUCCACACUUCGGAACCAACCAAAAUAUAAACACACAUUUUGAUACAAGUCCAACCAAACCAAAAUUAUCCAAUUCCGACAUUAAAUCGGCCUUUAAAUCAUUAUUUUACAUUUUAGAAUGUUUUUACAAAAUCCCUAAUUCCUCUAAUUAAAUAAAGAUGGAAUUAUGAAAUAUAAUCAAAUUUGAGUCAAGAAUACUUACACCAAUCUAAAUAGUGAAAAUUCCCUCCAAAAUCGUGCAAAACUGAACUCUCUAACUCAAAAAAGUGAUAAAAUAUCAAAACCCUUGAAAUAGAGUAAAUAUAAGUUUGCCCAGAUAUUCCUCUUCGCGCAGAACAUGCUUCGUGAUUCCGAAGCACAAAAUCACAAGCUGCCAAAAACAUUCUUCGCGAACGCGUACUCAUUGCUGCCAAUGCGAACCACAAUCUCCAGAAACCUUCGCGAACGCGGAGAGUAAAUCCCUUGCGCAACGUCGCUCGCGAACGUGAUGGCAACAACCUUCCCAGCGUCACGAACGUGAUCGUCUCUUCGUGACUGCAAAGAACAAAAAUGCCGGCUUCCACAUAACUUUACGCGGACGCGAUUGCUUCAUUGCGACAGCACUGAAGAAUGCCAGAUAACAGCAAUCUGCAAUCUAAAAUAUGGAGAAAUGGCCCAUAGUCCAUUCGAAACACACCCGAAUCCCCUCGGACCCCAUCCGAACAUACCAACAAGUUCCAUAACAUAACGCGAACCUACUCAAGGACUCAGAUCACAUCAAAAAGUAUCAAAAGUAUGAAUCACACCUCAAUUCAAGCUUAAUGAGCUAGUGAACUUUCAACUUCUACAAUUCGCACCGAAUCAUAUCAAAUCAACUCGGAAUGACCUCAAAAUUUUGCAUGAACCAAAUGACACAAUGGAGCUAUACCAACUCCUGGAAUGGCAAUGCAAACCAGAUAUCAACAAAGUCAACUCCCGGUAAAACCUCUCAACAUUCCAAACCUUGAAAUUUCCAACUUUCGCCAAAAUGCAUCAAAUCAACUUACGGACCUCCAAAUCCAAAUCCGGACAUACGCCUAAGUCUAAAAUCACUAUACGAAGCUAUUGGAUCAUCCAAAUACCAUUAUGGAGUCAACUACUUAAAAGUCAAACUCCGGUAAAUUCUUACCACUUAUGCUUCUAUUACAAGAAUCAUUCUUCCAAAUCAAUCCCGAAUCAUCCGAAAACCAAACCUGACUACACGCGCAAGUCAUAAUAUACAAUACAAAGCUACUCAAGACCUUAAGCCACCGAACAAAAUGCUAAUUCUAAAAACAAUCGGUCGGAUCGUUACACUAACUCAUUUGGCUCUUCUUUAUUAUAUUAGGGUUUGCACUAUUUCAAAAGCACCAAUUGCAUUAUGUAACAUAAUCAUGAAUUCUGUCAUGGUAUUUGGGCUUCACCAACUAACAUUUUUCAACGAUUUCUCCAACUAGUGAGUUUUUCCAUUGUAGUAUUCUAGACGGAAUAAGUGUGAUACAAAUUUGGGGAAGGAAGAAGAGGGAGAAAAAAAUGAGUAACACUGGAUUCUAAUACAUUAUUUUGUAAAUAGUAAAUUGUAUAUGGUAAUGUAAUUAAGUGAUAACAUCUUUAGAAGAGGUAAAUAAGUUUAUAAUAUAGUAUAAAUUGGUAAAUUUUUUAAAAAAUAGACUAUUUUAAAACUAGAGAAAAGGAAGCUAAGAGCUCCUUUUAUAAACUUUAUUACCAAUAGGCUUCUAUUUUAAAAUAUGACAAAAUAUGCUCAUGUUGAAGAUUUUAUUACAUGGAUGCCCCAUCCUUCAUUUCCUAUGCCGAGACUCCAUCAAAGGUCUUUCCCCCUCUUUUCUUUUCUUUGUUUUUUGUGUCUUUUUUACUUUUUUUUUUCAUUUUAUUGUUUUCUUUGUAAUAAAUUUUGCACUCUUUUUUAAUUUUUUUUUAAAUUUACUUUUUUAAUAGUUAAUUUUUUCUUUGUUUAUUCUUUAUAGUAUCAAUCCCUCACACCUUUUCAUUUUUUAUUGUUUUUCACCAUUUUUCUUAAUUUUGUAUUUUUUUUCUAGCAAAAUCUCUUCGUCCAAAAUAUUUGUAAAUCUUUUUCACUGUUUUCAUUUUAUAACUAUCAUUUUUUAUUUCUAAUAAUAUUCUGCACUUUUUUAGUUAUUUAUUUAUUUAUUUUUUGUAGUUAUUUUGUCUUGUUAAUUUUUUUUGUUUUUUAUUCUUUUUCCUUUUUUCUAGAAAUAAUCCCUCAUUUUUUUUUAUUUUUUUUAUUUUUAUUAUUUUUCACUAUAUAUUCUUGCAACAACAACAACAAACUCAGUAGUUUCCCAUAAAUGGGGUCUGGGGAGGGUAAGAUGUACGCAGUCUUACCCCUAACUCUGGAAGGGCAGAGAGGUUAUUUCCGAUAAACCCUCGGCUAGAGAACGACUAAAAAAUAAAAGGUAAUUGCAACAAGUAGGAAUAACAUCAAGUUGAAAUAAGAUCGAAUCCAAGUAUGCAGUCAAACUCUAGGUAGUAAUAGCCUUCUAUGAAUAAAAGAUAUCAUACUAAUACUAAUGCUAGCAAACUGAGCAAGACAAAGAGAAACGCUCGACUACCUAUGAGUCUUCUACCCUAAUCUUUGACCUCCACAUCCUCCUGUCUAGGGACAUGUCCUCAAUUAGCUCCAGCUGCGCCAUGUCCCGCCUAAAAACCUCUUCCCAAGACUUCUUAGGUCUACCUCUACUCCUCCUGCUGCCCACCUUAGGCUAAUCGCUCGCACCUUCUAACUAGGGUUUCUAUACUUCUCCUCAUAACAUGUUCGAACCAUCUCAACCUCUUCUCCCGCAUCUCAUCUUCUAUAGGGAUACUCCCACCUUUUUCUCGAAAAACUUCAUUCUUAAUCUUAUCCAACCGAGUAUGCCCACACAUACACCUCAACAUCGUCAUCUCAGCUACUUUUAGCUUCUGGGUAUGAGAGUUCUUGACGGGCCAACACUCUGCUCCAUACAACAUAGUCGAUCUAACUGCAACCUUGUAGAACUUACCUUUUAAGACUCAGUGGCAUAUUUGUAUCACACAAGACACCGAAAGCGAGCCUCAACUUCAUCCAUCCUGCUCUGCUACAAUGUGUGACAUCUUCAUCAAUCUCUCCAUUACCUUAUAUUAUAGAUCCAAGAUACUUGAAACUACCUCUUUUGAGGAUGACUUACGUAUCAAGCCUCACCUCCAUAUCCCCUUCCUAGAUACCGUUGCUGAACUUACACUCCAUGUAUUCCGUCUUGGUUCUGCACAACUUGAAACCUUUAAAUUCUAGGGCCUGCCUCCAAACCUCUAGCCUCUCGUUAACAUUACCCCGCGUCUCGUCAAUUAAAACUAUAUUAUCCACAAAUAACAUACACCAUGGCACCUCACCUUGAAUAUGUCUCAUCAAUGCGUCCAUUGCCAAGAAAAGACUAAGAGUUGAUCCCUGGUGCAAUCCUAUCAUAACCAAAAAGUUUUUUGAGUCUCCUCCCGCUGCCCUAACCCAAGUCUUAGCUUCAUUAUACAUGUCCUUAAUCACCCUAGUAUAGGAUACUGGGACCCCUUUAGCCUCCAAGAAUCGCCAAAACACCUCUCUCGUGACUUUGUCAUAUGCUUUCUCUAGGUCAAUGAACACCACGUGCAAGUCCUUCUGCAUCUCCCUAUACCGCUCCACCAAUAUCUUCACAAAGUGAAUGGCUUCCAUGGUCGAAUGCCCCGGCAUGAAACCGAAGUGGUUCUUACAAAUGGACACNNNNNNNNNNNNNNNNNNNNNNNNNCUACUUUUUUUCUGCUUCUCCAAAACUGCUUAUGCUUCUCCUCAAAAACACUUUUUUUUUUCCUUCCGAAAGCUUGGCCAAAUACCUCAAUUUUUGGCCAAAAGUUCUUUUGGCAAAAAAAAGAACUUUUAGCCAAAAAGAAGCUUGGCCAAACAAAUGCAAUAGAGAGAGAAAGCUUUGGCGAUUUGGUGAACCCUAGAGAGAGAAAGCUCGCGAUUUUGCUGCCAUGGCCAAUUUGGCCGGUGGCCAGCCCUCUUCUCUGGCUGGCCAGCCCCCUCCCAUCAUCGCCCAGCCCCCACGACCUCUAACAACAAUCCCCAGCCCUUAGAGUACUACAAAAUCCUUAAACCUGCUACUGUGAACAGUGCCAUGCACGAACGUGCAACUACUGUCGAGCCAAUUGCUUUGUGUCGAGCCAGUAUGAUCAAUGGACAACCUGUUGUGAAGUUUACUGAAGCUGAGGUUGAUAGAAUGAAUGUGCUCGAAGGCCUACAAUAUGCUGUUGUGUGCAAAUUUUCAUAUGGAUGGUCGGAGAUCAAUGAAUUACGUCGAAUAGUUCCUAUUCAAUAUGGGAUUAAAGGAGAAUGUACUAUAGGUUAUCUUCGUGAUAGACAUGUGUUAAUACGAAUGACUCUUUGGCAGAAUUUUGUGGAUUUUUCGUCAAAAGGAGUCUACUAUGUCAAGGACAAUUUUGGCAAUGAAUACCAAUUAAGAACCUUGAUUUAUGAUCACAAGUUUAAGGUUGGAGAAGAAACACCAAAGGUAAUGGAAUGGAUUUCCUUCCCUAACUUGUUGCCCACUUAUUUUGUCAAGGAGUGUUUAUUUUCUUUAGCUCGGCAGUCGGUAAACCUCUGCACCUUGACAUGGCAACAGUGAAUAAAACUAGGCCUAGUUGUGCACGUGUGAAGGUGUUAGUUGAUCUCUUAUCUGAUCUUCAUAAGAAGGUACGUAUGGAUAUUGUGAAUGAACCAACGGGGGAGGUUAGAACUGAAUAGGUAAACAUCAAAUAUGAAUAUUUGCACAAGUAUUGUAAGGAGUGUAGAUUGCAGGGUCACGAUAUUUUGGAAUGUUAGAGGCUUCAUCCAAAACUUAUGGAGACUAAAACUAAUGAGCAAUAGGUGGACAAUGGGGCAGGAAAGAAUGGUGAUCAGGGAAAUGUUUCUGCAACUCAACAGGGUCCUUUAAUGAUUUUAUCAAGUGGAAAGGUGGUAGGUAAUGUGGCAGGUAAGGGUAAGGAACAAUGGAAAGAGGUAAGGGAUAAUAGAGCUAAGAAGACCACCAGUCCAAAUAGGGUACAAAUUGCUAAUGGAAAAGAAUUGGUACCAGUUGCUCAAGGUGAAAGACAACAGGUGCAACUGGGAAACAAAUUUGCAUUGCUGGGAAUUGAGGCAGAUGGUAUUGAUGUAGAGAAUGAGGUGCAGAAGUAGGCUCAGGAAACAUGGAAUAUAGGUGUUGAAGAGGCAGGUCAGAAUAAACAAUUGGCUCUAAUUGAUAAGGUGCAAAAAGUGAUUCAAUUGGAUAAAGUGUCCCCUGUUAGGGGGGGGGGGAAUCCAGGUACAACACAAAAACUGCAACAUCAAACAGGUAAUACUGCUGAAAACUUAAAUCGAGUAGCUCCAGAAUUCUACUUAAACUCAGCUGAUUUUGGAUCAACUAAUGGUAGAGCUGAAUCAAACAUAAGGGGAAGUGACAAAGAAGUAACAGGAGGCAAGGAAUCUACAGCUCAGUGGGUGCAAAGAGCUUUCAAUGUCAAUGCAGGGGGUAUUACUGUGGGAGUGAACACUUUUUGCCAAGAUUUUCCCUCACAAGACACUUUGGUGGAAAAGGAGCUGGCCAAUAAUCCAGAAAUUCAAACUAAUGAUACUAUAUUUCUUAAGGUGACUGACAGAGUACAAUGGAGUGGAGGUAGGCUGUGGUCUAAUCAAAGAGAGGAGGAUUCAGAUGCAGAUGAGGUACCAUUAGGUGCUCAAAUUGAUUAGGAGCCAAUACAAGAAGAGAAGGAUGAUGAGGAGUAAAGUGUAAAUGGAAAUACCAUUGUCACAAUUGAAAACAAAGCAGAUGAUAACAAUACAAAGGCAAAUAUUGGAUCACAGGAACAAUUAGUAAAUAAGAACUCACAGGAUAAAGCUGGAAUUCAUGUUCAAAUUCCAGAAGGAAUAGGUAUUGAUGAUGUGGAUCCUGGAAGAACAAGAGAAGGUGCAAACCAAAAUAUUGCAAAAAAUAGGCAGCAAGAAGAUACAAAGGCUGGGAAUGCUGGACAGAACAAUCUUACCUCAAUCAUAACAAAAAUCACUGUUCCAUUGGAGCAGAAUCAGCUGAAGUUACUGAAGAAAGGGGGAGGAUCAGGCUUUGAUGAACAACUCACAACAGCAAUUAACUGGGGCCACUGGUGAUGAACAAGAGGAUAAUGUUGCAGAAGAAGAAGUAUUUAAAAUAGGCCAUGACAUGGAUCAAGAGUAUACAAAUCAGAAUUUUCAGAAUAUAGCAAGGCAAGGGGAUUUAUCUCCAAGGCAAAUUGAAAAGGCUAAAUCUGCAGCAAAAGGUAAAAAGAAACAACAUAAGGAAAGUAAUACUGCCCCUACAGGUGGUGUUCAAACAAGAAGGACUCUUACCAAAUCUCUCAACCAGUAAUGGAUGCUCUCAUUUGGAACAUAAGGUCAGUAAACACUCAACUGGCAUUUGAAAGGCUGAUCAAAAUGCAUAGAAAGAACAACUAUGAGUUUAUAGGAUUGAUGGAACCCAUGCAACAAGCUAGGACAUUAGAAAGGUACAGAAACAUAAUAGGAUUUGCACAGGCUAUUUCUAAUGUGUCAAACAAGAUAUGGGUAUUCAUUGAUGAGGUUUUUGAAGUCACAGUAAUAUACAACAGGGUCCAGCAGUUAACUCUAAGGCUUUAUCAUACAGACUCUCAUGUAGAAAUUGUUCUUACAUUAGUAUAUGCCAAGUGUAAUGCCAUUGAGAGAAUAGAAUUAUGGGACUCAUUGUAUACUAUGGAAAGUGAUAUGAAUGUGCCAUGGUUGGUAGGAGGUGACUUCAAUGUCAUAUGGGACGAGGAGGAAAAGUUUGGAGGUCUUCCAAUACAUAUAAAUGAAAUUGAUGAUUUCAGGCACUGCAUUAACACCUGCAAUCUUUUUGAUCUUGGAUUCAAGGGUAGUAUUUUCAUAUGGUGGAAUGAUAGGGCAGAAGAGGAUUGUAUUUUCAAGAGGCUAGAUAGAUGUGUAGCCAAUUCUGAAUUUCAACAGACUUUUCCAGGUAUAGAUGUACAACAUCUACCUAAGAUAGGGUCAGAUCACAGUCCUUUGCAACUCAAGUGUGACAUAGAGACCCCUCCAAUGAAGAAGCCAUUUAGAUUCCUGAAUCUUUAGGUGGAACAUGCAUCUUUCAAAGAAGUGGUGAAGGAGAACUGGAAGGCUAACUUUAGUGCAAAUCCAUACAUCAUCUUUAAUCACAAGCUGAAGAAAGUAAAGAAGGCCUUAUCAGUGCGGAGCAAUGGGACUUUUGGAGAUAUAUUCCUGAAGAUAGCCAAUUUGGAAGAAGUUUCUCUAGUUCAUGAAGCUGAGUUUGAAGCAAAUCCCACAAAGUUAAACAGACAAAGACUACAAAAGGUACAGGCAGAAUUAAUCAAACUUUUAGCUUUAGAGGAAAAAUACUGGAAACAAAAGGCAGAGAUAUCUUGGUUCAAGGAUGGAGACAGGAACACCAAAUUCUUCUAUGCCAAAGUAAGAGGUAGAAGGAAGAAGUUGCAGCUGAAUAGAAUUCAAAACAAUCAAGGAGUGUGGAUUGAAGAGGAUGAAGAAAUAGUUGCAGAAGCAAUCAAGUUCUUUGAAGAUCAAUUUUCUGAAAAUACAAUUCCUACCUCUUUCCACAUCAUAGACAAUGUUCCUGCAUUGAUUGACAUGGGGCAGAAUGAAGAUCUAAUAAAGCAGCCUACUAUGGAGGAAGUUAAGGCAGCUGUGUUUGGAUUGAAUGGAGACAGUGUAGGAGGGCCUGAUGGCUUUACAGGUAAAUUCUAUUAGCCAGUUUGGGACAUCAUUGGAGGGGAUAUAUUUGACAUGGUGAGAGAAUUCUUUAAUGGUCAUGAUUUACCAAAAUGUGUGACUCAUAACAACCUUGUUUUUCUCCCAAAGAAGAAAGAGGUAUGCACAUUUUCUGAUUUAAGACCUAUCACCCUUAAUAAUUUUUCUAAUAAAGUGAUAUCGAGGGUGAUACAUGAGAGGCUGGUGGGGCUAUUACCUACUCUAAUAUCUAAAGAACAGUCUGGUUUUGUUAAGGGAAGGAGCAUUGUGGAAAAUAUUCUUCUAACUCAAGAGAUUGUCACAGAUAUGAGACUUAGAAUAAAGGUAGGACCUAAUGUUAUUAUGAAGCUUGACACGACCAAGGUGUAUGACAGAUUAUCCUGGCUAUUUCUGACCAAGGUGUUAAGAAAAAUGGGAUUCUCAGAGAGAUUCAUAGGCAUGAUGUUUGGUACAGUGUCUAAUAACUGGUACUUAGUCUUAAUAAAUGGCCAAGUUCAUGGGUUUUUCAAAUCUUCGAGGGGGUGAAGCAAGGGGAUCCAUUGUCUCCUACAUUAUUUAUUUUAGCUGCUGAAGCAUUGUCAAGGGGCCUUAAUGCUUUGCAUUUGAAUUUAUACUUUUGUGGCUAUGGCUUACCUAAAUGGAGCCCAAAGAUCAAUCAUCUUGCCUAUGCAGAUGACACGAUUAUUUUCUCAUCAUCUGAUGCCACAUCCCUUAGACUCAUCAUGGAGGUACUUGCAACAUAUGAAUCAGCAUUUUGGCUGUUGGUAAACAAGGCAAAGUCAGCUGUGUAUCUUUAUCAUUUAACAGAUGCAGAAGUGGCAGACAAAGUGGAGAGGGUCACAGGAAUAAAGAGGCAAGAUUUUCCAAUUAUAUACCUGGGAUGUCCGAUUUUUUACUCAAGGAGGAAGAUGGAGUAUUACUAGCCUAUGAUCACCAAAGUAUUGGACAGACUACAAUUGUGGAAAGGCAAGCUAUUGUCCAUAGGUGGCAGGGUAGUACUCAUUGCUCAUGUACUGCAGAGCAUGGAAAUUCACUUGCUAUCAACUGUAAACCCUCCAAAUUAUAUGAUCAAUUGAUUGCAUAAGAUCUUUGCUUAGUUUUUCUGGAGUAGUUCAGUCACAGGGACCAACGGGCAUUUGGCAUCAUGGGCCACUCUAUGUAUGCCACAGGAUGAAGGGGGGUUGGGUUCAGGUCUCUUCAUGAUGUGGCAAAAGCUCUCUUUUGCAAACUGUGGUGGAAUUAUAGAACCAAGCCUAGUAUUUGGAGUUCUUUCAUUAGCCAAAAGUACUGCAAAAAGCUAAAUUCGGUGAUAGUACCAUGGAGGACAGGGUCUCAUGAUUGGAGAAAGAUGCUGUAGUAAAUGGACUUGAUUGAACAUCAGAUCAUGUGGCAUCCAAGAACGGGCUCCUCAUUAUUUUGGUAUGACAAUUGGACAGGUUUGGGGGCAUUGUAUUUCUUAGUUCCACAAGAGUUUGGUGUUAAUGAAUCUGUGCAUAAGGUGUGGGAUGUGAUAGAAGGUGGAGAGUGGAAUGCAGAAAGGCUAUUUCAAAUACUACCUGAGGAAUAUGCAGAACACAUCAUAGAGAUUAUCCAGCCACCUAUAGAACAAGGGGUUCUUGAUGUACCUUGCUGGAUGCUGGAAUCUAGAGGUUUCUUUAGUGUUAGGACAACUUGGGACUAUUUGAGAAGAAGAUCAGAACCAAUGUCAGCAUGUUGGAAGAUAUGGGUGAAGGGAUUGCCAUUCAAAAUAGUUUUUUUCAUGUGGAAGGUGUGGAGAAAUAAGCUACCACUUGAUGCUUUUUUCAGAAGACUAGGGUACCUAAUGGCAUCCAAGUGUUGGUGUUGUGUAGAACCAAAGGAGGAGACAACACAACACAUGUUCUUUACCUCAUAUGCAACAAACAAAGUGUGGAAGUAUUACCUUGGAUAUGCAGGCAUUGCAACAGAAGGACUUACAUUGCAUCAAGCUAUUAUCAAAUGCUGGACUGCAGAUGUAGUACCAAGAUUGAAACCAAUCAUCCAAGCCUUGCCAUCUGUAAUUGUAUGUGAAUUAUGGAAGAGAAGAAAUAGUUACAAGUAUGGAGAUGCAGUCACUAUCAAUAAAGUGAUUUACCAGAUAUCCACUACUAUGCAGUCACUCAUCAAGGUAAGGAAACUAGGAGUUCAGCAGGUUCCUCACAGGUGGCCAGACACGUGAAAGAUGAUAGAGCAAUUCACACCAACCCUUAAAUACACAAAGGUGCUAUGGGAUUUCCAAGAACAAGGUUGGGUGAAAGUCAAUACAGAUGGAGUUUCUAGAGGCAAUCCUGGUAGGAGUUCUAUUGGUUUUGUUCUAAGAAACGAGGAGGGAGAUGUUCUGUAUACAUGUGGCAAGGAAAUACAAGAAGGUUCAAAUUCAGUUGCUGAAGCAAAGGCCAUUUAUGAGGCUAUGAAGUUCUGCGUGCAACAUGACUAUGCUCUGAUAGACUUGCACACAGAUUCAAUGUUAUUAAAGAAGGCAUUAACUGGAGAAUGGAAUCCCCCAUGGGUAAUAGGAACAAUGGUGGAGGAUAUUAGAGAACUAAUGAAUAGAGCUAAUGUAAAAUUGUCUCACACCCUCAAAGAAGGCAACCAGUUAGCAGAUCACAUUGCAAAUUAUGCACUAGACAAUGGCCCUAUGGAGUGUCAUGGAUUUGAGGAGUUGGAUUUACAAGGGAGAACGUUGGUGAAUUCAGACAAACUACAAUGCCCAUGUAUAAGAGUUUCUGUUGCAAGGAGAUAGGCAGGAGUGGAGAAGGGGUAUCAAAAGAGGAGGAAGGGCCAAGGAACUCUACAGAUGAUCACCAUACGCAAAUCCUUAGGGAAGAGAGUAUGGUGAGAUAUUUUACUAACAUGAUUUUCUUUUUUGCAGGUGAUACGUCUAUGCAGUACCUUUUAAUGAAACUCUAGAUAGCGAUAUUAGUGCAUUGCACUCAAUCCGUGAAAAGCUGGGCAUGCAGCAGAGGUCUACCUAGCUUUUGUUUCUCUUUUUAUGCACACUUGGUUCCUUGGACAAGUAAGAAUGGGAACAAAAGAUUCAUGGUGGAUUUACUCCUCAAUGUUUUUAAAAUACACAUCCAAAGAAAGAAACCAGCUACGAGAGGCAUCAAUAAAAGGAUGGAGAUCAUCACUUCAUGCAUACAUGAAACAACAUAGCAAAGUUCAGACAUAGAGUUGCAACAUACCUCACUUGCAGUUAAAAAACACUGUAUCUACUGGUACAAAGCUGAAGGACAAGCAAGGAACUCAACAACGAGCAAAGGAACAACAUACGUUACUGGAGUCAUACACAACAUAAUUGAAACAAAUACACUUUCAGUAAGCCUCACUUGGCACAGUCAUAUGACUGAAUUGGGUUCGAAUGGCGUUACCAAGUUCGAGUGCAAUGCUUCUUUGAUCAGGCAAGGAAAUAACUUGUGUCUUUUCUGGGCAGUGGCUAACCAACAACAAUUGCAAAUUCAACACAAACACAAGUAAAGAGGCCAUGCAUGCAAUUGCUGGGAAGUAGCUAGUAGAAUGCAACUACAUCUGAAUUGUUUUUCCUAUGUAAUAUCAUUUCUGAGGUUAUUCCUCAAUAUUGAUAAUAGGAGUCCUAUCACAUGCACAUGUUCAACACGGAUAUAUAAGGCAGCUGAAUUUUGGGAACAAAUGGAUCAAGAGGAAGCAAAUAUGUCGUAGCAACGGAAUGAACAAGGACUGUUGACACUCAAAUUGGAUGUAGCAGCAGGGAAAGUUACUGUAGCCAUGCACCAUAAUUUGGCACAAUUUCCAUGGGUGGUAUCAGCAUAUGCUCAUUCCCUGGAAGGAGUACAAAUUAUAGGCAUAAGCAUGGUAGCAAUGAGCAGUCAUCUAAUGAAACAAAAUGUGGUCAUACUGGGCUGUUGGCAAUCACUUCUGGGAGAAAUGGAGACAAGCUGUGGUAAAUCACCAAUGUACUCCAAUACUCCUAUACUACAAGAAUGGCUCAACGCACUGGAUAGGAAACAAGCAUGGUGGAGAUUACACGAUUUAAUGUAAAACUGGGCACGAGCAACAGAGGUCUGCCUAGGUCUUUGUCCAAUUAUCUGCACGUCUGGUUCUUUGGACAAGUAAGAAUGGGAACAAAUGAUGCUUGGUGGAAUUACUCCUCAAUGGUCCUAAAUAACUACACAUCCCAUGAAAGAAACCAACUGCAGAAGGCAUCAAAAGAAGACGGGAAAUCACACGAAUCUCUCCUACAACAGGGCAUGCAAACACAUGGUUGACAAUGCUGGAAAAUCCACUUACUGAGAAAUGCAGGCAACUGAUCAAGGAAGAUACAUAAGGAAGUAGGUUGUUUGAAUCACAUGCAUAUUGAGGAAGCUAACAUGGUAUGGAGCAGGACUGAUAGAAAAGAAGGCACACACGAUGGGAAGCUGGACAAUCUAUGGAACAUCAAUGCAAUGCAGGUUGUCAUGAACUGGAUCAAUAUGGUAAAGGAAGAACAAGGAACUGGUAUACUCAAUGUUGAGGAAGGUGCAGAAUCACAGUUGAUACAUCAGUGGAAGCACGAUCAAGAAUUUGGCAAAACAUCAUGUUUCAAUGUUCUCAAGUUUGAAGACAUUUCUUGGCUAGUUUUUAUUUUUGAUAUGCAGUAUUUUGUUAGAGGUCAUAAUGUGAUAUCAAUGUUGAGUACAAUGCUCAACAUUGAUAGUAGGAACUAUGUAAUUGUCAAAGUUUAUCAUUUUCAUCAUGUAAGACCUCCUGACAUCUUGUUCUCGUUUUUUUGAUUUAGAUAUAUAAAAACUAGCCCUAGGUUAUGCCUAGUGGAUUUCUUAAAAAGAAAGCGUGGCCAAACAUGCUAUUAGUUCCUUAAUAGAGGCCUAGAUGACCAAGUUUUACUUGAGUCAAUAUUUUGAGUAAAAGACCUAGGAACGGGGAUUUGAUGGUUCCAAUAGGUUUGUAUGAUGAUUUUGACUUAGGCGUGUGUUCGGAUCAAGUUUCAAGUGAUCUGGGAGUGUUUCGACGCUUAAUGUUGAAAGUUGGCACAUUGGAGGUUUUCAAGUUCUUUAAAUUUGGCGUAAAGUAGAAUUUAAGGUUAUCAAGGUCCAAUUGAGAUUUCAAGCUUGAGAAUAGGUCCAUAUGGUAAUUUAUAAGUUGUAUGCAAAAUUUGCCGUCAUUCCGAGUUGUCUAAGUAUGAGUCAUUGCGUGUUGCUAGUUGAAGAAGUUUGAAGUUCACAAGUUGAUUAAUUUAGUUUUAAGGUGCGAUUCUUCGUUUUGACGUUUUCUUUAUGUGUUUGAGGCUACAAGCAAGUCUAUAUUAUGUUUAUGAACUUGUUAGUACAGUUAGAGGGGGGUCCGGGUGGCUCGAGUGAGUUCCGGACAACCCGGAGCUAAGUUUAAUUUCUACAAUUUUGUUGUUCAAGUUUCCUUCUUCGUGAGCGCCAAAAAUGCCUCGUAUUUGCGAUGACAGAAAUGGGACUAGGGACUUUUGUUCUAUGUGUUUGCAAUAGAAGGGUUGCUAUCACGAAGCUUUUUGAACACUAGCCUCCGCGUUUGCGAUUCCCUGGUCGCAUUCGUGUAGAAGGCCUAGGGCUGGGGCUGGGCAAGUCAAAUGCCCUUCAAGUUCACGAAGUUGUGCAGGGUCUGGUCAAUGCGUUCGAGUAGGUCUUCUUUCGAUCGCGAAGAAGCUUUUUACGGGCUUUGGCAGUUUUGCCUUCGUGAUCGCGGGGGCAUUUCGCGAUCGCGUAGAAGGAAGACCUAGGCAGAAACUUGAUUAAAAAUGGGACUUAGGCUCAUUUUGUUCAUUUAUCUCAACUUGUGGCUGAUUUUAGAUUUCUUUGGAGAGGGUUUUUCAUCUAGCACCUUGAGGUCAGUAAUCUCUACAUAAUGUGAGUUUAAUACAUAGAUUAUGGUUAAACUUUUACAUGUAAAUUGUGGAAAUUUUAGAAUUUUGUUGAAAAAUAUAGGUUUUGGUAAAAAUGGAUUAGGCCAGAAAAAUGAUUAUGGAAUGACUAGAAAUUAUAUAUUUGUGUUCGUGAGGCUAUGGAAAACAUAUAUUUAGGAAAAUUGGGUGAAUUUUAGGAAAUUUCUAAAUUGGGUUGGGUAAUUACUCUAAUAGUUAAAUUAUGAACUUUUGAGCAUAUAUUGAUUAGUUUGUACAAUCUUUGGCUAGUUUCGGAAUCCUAGGAACCGGAUUGAGGCUAUUAGUGUGAUUUGUGGAUUUAUAACGACCUAACCGGUCGUUUUGAGCUCUAGCGUGUCGUUCAACAGUUUGAGGCCAUGAGCAGCUUCACUUCAGGUAUUAUGACUUGUGCGCACGGUCGGAAUUGAAUUCCGGGAAGUUCAGAGUUGAUUUGGAAAGAGAAUUCUCAUUUUGGAACCUUUAAGUUGAAAGAAUUGACUAAGGUUGGAUUUUUGAGUAAACAACCUCGGAAUCAGGAUUCGAAGGUUCCAGCAGGUUCGUAUGAUGAUUUCAGACUUGGGCGUAUGUUUGGACCGGGUUUUGGAGGACCCGGGAACAUUUUGGCGCCUAUUGUGGAAGUUAGCAUUUUUGGAGGAAUUUCAUAAGUUUGGGUUGAAGUGCAUUUCAGUGUUUUCAAUGUCCGUUUGUGAGUCCGAUUUUGGGAAUAGCUCCGUAUGGUGAUUCUAGUAUUGGGAGCGCAAUCGGAAGUGAAUUCAGAGGUCCGUAGAUCAUUUGGCUAAAGAUAGAAAUUUGAAGGUUUUUGAGAAGUUUGAUCGGAAGUGAACCUUUUGAUAUAGGGGUCGAAACCCAAUUUCGGAAGUUGGAGUAGGUCCGUAAUGUCAAAUAUGACUUGUGCGCAAAAUUUGAGGUCAAUCGGACGUGAUUUGAUAAGUUUCAUCAUCAAUGCAGAAGUUUGAAAUUCUAAAGUUCCUUAAGCUUGGAUUGGGGAUAGAUUCAUGAUUUUGGUGUUGUUUAAUAUGAUUUGAGGCCUCGAGCAAGUCCGUAAUAUGUUUUGGGACUGCUUGGUAUGAUUGAUUGGGGUUCUGGGGGCCUCGGGUGGAUUCCGGAUGGUUAACAGAAAGUUUUUGGAAAUUGGAAGAGGAAGUGCAGAAGUUGUCUUCUGGUGUAACCACACCUACGAGGCUUGGGCCGCAGGUGCGGAUCCACAGAAACGUCCAGGAGAGCCGCAUAUGCAAUUUUGGGCUGGAAGUGUAAGGACCGCAGAUGCGGUCAUCUCGCCGCAGAAACAGGACCGCACCUGCGGGAGUCGAGACGCAGAAGCGAAAAGGGGAGCCGGGAGAGAAAUGGCAGGAGCGGCAGAGGGGCCGCACCUGCGGAACUGCAGAAGCGGUCAUGUGACCGCAGGUGUGGAAUUGCUGGAAGGAAUAAGGUCUUUAAAAAUCGGGGGUCUUGGCCAUUUUUCUCCAUUUUCCUCUUGUUUGGGCGAUUUUUGGAGAGCUUCAAGAGAGGUAUUUCAUCAUCAAACAUGUGGUAAGUUAAUUUCACCCCUUGUGAGUUAAAUACAUGGUUUUGUUAGGGAUUUGAGAAUGAAAAUUGGUAGAAACUUGGGGUUUGAGGGGAAACCUAGAAAAUUGAUAUUCUUGGAUUUUGACCACGACUUUAGGUAUGAAACUAAUAGAAAAUCAUAUAUUUGAGUUAGAGAGUUUAUGGGUAAACUUUAUCUUCGAAAAAUUUCCGAAUUCGGGCAUGUGGGCCCGAGGGCAAUUUUGUCAACAUUUCAAUCGGGGUUAGGAAUUGUUAUAAAUUGGAUUGUAAUGAGUAAUUGAAAAUAUAUUAAUGGAUUUAAAUAAUUAUAGGCUAGUUUUGGAGCAUUGUGCAUCGAUUCGAGUCUUCGGAAGGGCGUGGAAUGCCGGUUAUGGAUCUUCGGAGCGAGGUGAGCCUCCUUUCUAACCUUAUAAGAGGGAAUUGUCCCCAUAGGUGAUAUAAUUGGUUAUGUGCUCCUAUUUGUGGUGGCUACAUAUGCACGAGGUGACGAGAGUCCAUGCGUAGCUACUAUUAUGUGUAAGUCCGGGUAGUCUAGGACCCAAAAACAUGCUAUACUUGGAAUAUCUGUAAUCUUGUUGGCAGUUGAAUUGCUUAAAUCUUAUCGAAUUGGUAAAUGAAUUUCUAAAAGGAUUAAACUUCUUUUUCUUAAAUCGCUAAAAGAGAAUUGGCUUUUAUUUGGAUAAAUGUUCCCUGAUAAAUUCUUAAUUUGCUGUUUGAGCAUGUAUUUCUAUGUGUACCUACGUCGCAUGUAUGAUUCACGAGCAGGGUGUUUGUUUAUUUAUGUUGACCACGUCACAUGUAUGAUUCACAAGCGGGGUAAUAGAUGCAUCUAUGGUUCGCGUCGUUCAACCCUUGGUAGUGCACAUUUUACAUUUAUAUUGGAUCGGGCCGUACGACCUCGGCAUGAUUUGCGCAUGCUUGUAUUGCUUGCCUUAAGAGUUAUUGAUAUUGAUAUUUUCUCUCCCCGACUUGAGAUAAUUGUUAAUUAAUGGAUUAUGAAUCUGGAGACUUUUAAUAAAAAAGAAACUCUUACCUGUUUCUUGACUUAUUUGAAUUUACUGUUGUUCUUAAUAAAUCCGUGAUUCAUCGCAUUAAUAAUAUUACUAUUGGACUACUAGCAAGUGUCAAAGUCGACCUCUCAUCUAUACUUCUUAGAGAUUAGACGGGAUACUCAUUGGGUACACGUUGUUUUCGUACUCAUACUACACUUGCUAUGCAUUUUUGUUGCACACGUUCAUAUGUGGCUAGUGGCUUAGUGGCAUAGCGGUAUGGUUGAUAUGGAGACUUAGGUGAGCUACAAUUAUCGAGACAACUCGCAGCCAGCAGAGUCUUCUUCAGAAUAUUGUACUGUAUUUUCAUUUCUGUUCACUUGUAUUCCGUAUAGUUACUGUAUUUUACGUCAUUCCCUAGUAAAUGCUCAUGCACUUGUAACACCGGGUUCUAGGAUGAUUAUGGGGUAUCUUGUAUUAAUUGCUUAACAUUCAUAUUCGAUUUUAAACGAUUAUCUUUUACUAGUAAAAUUGAAGGAAAAUCAUAGUUUUCAAAAUUAUUAAAACGAGAAUUUAAUUAAGUAUUUUGGUUCGCUUGCCUGAUAGCGGUGUCCGGCUCCAUCACGACCCUUAGUGGAUUUUGGGUCGUGAGAACAUGGUAUCAGAGCACUAGGUUCGCCUAGGUCUCACGAGUCAUGAGCAAGUCUAGUAGAGUCUUGUAGAUCGGUACAGAGACGUCUGUACUUAUCUUCGAGAGGCUACAGGACUAUUAGGAACACCUCCUUCUUGAUUCCUCAUCGUGAGGCUUUGAUUCCAUUGAGGCUUAUGCCUUUGUUUAUUUUCUACUCAAUCUUAUGCGACGUGAAGCACUUAUUAUAAAUCGGGAAUUAAGAAAAUGUAAUGGUACUACAGAUGUGGUGUGGGAUGUUUCUCCCGGUAUAGUUGGUUGGGCUAUUGUCAUCGCCUUGCGGAAGGAUUUUACUAUUGUUUCGGCUAGGUAGUUGUGCCUCUAAGAUCUUGGAUGCUAUGCACAGGUUGAUAUGAUGCUCACUAUUGGUUAAUUGGCUUGAUGGUAGGACACUUGCCUAUGUGUUGGGGCGGUGAAUGAUUUGAAAGGAAGUUCACUCAGUGCGCGAUUCAGAGAUCUUAUAUUUCAUUUCCAGUGGAGGAAAAACAAUUGGCCUUUGAAUGUCCAGGUUUGGGGUAAUGGAGUAGCGAGACUUGGUAUUUUCGAGCGUGGUGGAAUUUUCAUCUAUGAUGUAGUGUCGUUGUCCUCGAUUGUAUGUGUUAAAUUUCUGCAAUUCGCCUUUGGGGUAAGAUAUUGUGAAAUAAUAUUAAAGAAAUGACUUUUAGAUAACGCGGGGUAUGGUGGUUCAGGAUUGAAUCGAUGUUUCUAAUGUUGAUGGCUCGAGAAUGGUGAUCUUCGGAAAAGUUUAAAGUUAGUAGCGAUUUGUGGGUUCAAGUGCUACGAAGAUAAAUUUUAUUUAAGUCAACAACUGAGCAGUAAAGGAUGAGGAAGGACAUGUGGGGAGUGUCAGGUGGUGGUUAAAACUUCUAGAAGGCCAGGUAUAAGAAACAAAGGUCAAGUAGUCGAUUAAAGGGGUGAGUUCCGCUAAAGUAGGACAGUGGUAGAGUUGCGUGUGGGCUUUGUGGUAUGAUGACUACGCACCUUAAGGAGAGUUUGGAAUGAUUUGGGAAUUUUAGUGAUUGGUGAUCGGGGUCUACGGAUUAAAUUGAAGUAUGGGCUAUUAUGCGGCAGGAGAUUUGAUAUAGUGGAAACAAGCUGCUUGAAAUGAAGAAGGAUACAACAUAAAUUUGAAUUGGAAGGAUGUUGCCGCACAUUUAAUUGAUGUCCACAAGGGGUGAAUGGACUUGUGCAGCUAGGGAGUGAGCUCGAACUCAGGAUGGGUUAUUGAUGUUGUAGUGAUUGUACCUCGUGCAGCAGCGUUGGAGGAUGUCGGAAAGUGAUUUCCACAGGUGGGUUAUCUCCAGUGAGCAGAUCGGCGAUCACAUGGUUGGCGAAACUUCUGUGAAGAAUUCUAUUAGUUAUACAACAAAGAGAUCGAUCAUGCAAAUGUGGUUGAUGAUUCAGAGUAUAAAGAGGGGUUUUACAGAAAGAGUCUGAGAAUUUUGGCGGUUGAUUGUGUAAGGUUAUGUCAAUAAGGGAUAAAGAAUCCUGGUGAAUUCUGGAGUUGUGUAAUAGGGGCUUCAAGCUAAGUGGAAGAGUCCUACCGCCUAUGAUUGGGUUGCAUGGUUAACUACUUGAGAGGUUUCUGGUUAUUAAUAUAUUGAUAGGCUAUUUUAGCUACGGGAAAAGAACAUAAAUGGUAAUUUGAGCUAAAGAAUUGUUAAAGGUGUGCUAUGGUUAACCUUAUUGGCUCAUGUUCAGACUUGGGGAAGGAUUCAGGAUUUAUGCCUUGUAUAGAUGCGGGUUUCAAGGGAAGUGAUUCUAAUGGGUGCUUUGUCGAGAGGGUAUUAAUGUGCUAGAAGAUUAAUGGAGUUGAUUAUAUUCGGGGCCAAGUCAGAGCGGGUGGUCUCAACAACAGUUCUAGUGGAUUCAUAGGGGUAAAAGUGUGGUGCCUAAUAAUUUCGAGCCUAUAGGUACAGUUAAGAAUCAAGCUUUGUAGCAGCUUAUGAGAAUAGGCACAAAAUGUUCUAUGAUGUUUGACUUGUAGUGUAGCAUUUGGGAGGUAUGAAAUGGUUCGUGGGAUUUGAGACAGCAUGGUCUCGUGAUUCAAGGUCACUCGGGAUGAGUGCAAAUAGAGUGUGUUAUGUGUUGAAUGAAGUUAUUUCUAAGGCAACCAAGGAUAAAUUAGAAGAAGAUAGAUUGGUUAGCCAUGGUUGAAUUGGCAUAUUGGUGGUAGUGAUCAGUUCCUUCAGUGUGCUCAAGUUGUGCAAGUGAUUUGUGACGGUACGUGUGAGGCUUGUCGGCCGCCGUAAUCGAUGAUAUUCAGAAGUAUUCUACUGUUAUGGCCUGUAUGUGUAGGCGGAUCCCGGAAGGGCUAUGGUGGCUUAGACCACUACUUAGAGAUUUGCAUAUUCUAGGUUAUGAGAAUUCACCUGUGUGUUGCUAUGGUUCUCCUGAAGUGAGUUAAGUGAAAAGUUUUUCUUAUGAUGAAGUGUUAAUCUAUUAGUGGUUCCGGGGUUAUGAUGAAAAUCGUUUUCUAUCAUAUAUGGGCAUGUUGGGUGUAGUGAGUGGUAUGGAAUUUGAAGUGAGGAUCAAGGUUGCGAUUCGGUGUUGACAAGGAUGUCACGAGAUCGGAUGAGUAGGAAAGGAGUUUGGAUGUUUAAAGUAAGUUGGUAUUGUCCUCAGCGUCAACUGAGAUCGGUGUUUUGUAAAAAAGGCUUUGCAUCCUGGUUAAGGAUUCUUGAUCGCUUUUCAGCAUUAGUGCGACCGAUGAUUUGGAUGUACAUAUCUGUUUUCUGUUACGGAAGGUCGUGGGAGCGUGCCCCACGGGAAGGUUGUAUAAGUGUGGCAUGUAGUCACUUGAUUGAUUGAAGAAUUAAACCAAGUAUGAAGAUUGUGGUGAUAUCGUUAGUUUGAGAAUUUAUGCAUGGAGGGCACUCAGUUUAUUGGGUUGUGGACUAUGGAGGAUUACUCCGGUUAUGAUGGUUGUUCUUGUGUGUUAUGAUAAAAGGGGACUUAUUAUGGACCUUUGAAAGGUUAUUAGCCUGGUUCAGUGCGAUCAGAAAUAGCUUGAGGUCUGUGGAUGGAUUUAAAUGUGAAUGAGCUCUAUAUCAGGCCAGAUGUGUUCAUUUCAGCCAUGCGCUCCUUAUGGAAAAUUAGUUGGGGUGUAUUUCAUCGUCACCUAUUUCAUAUAAUGAUGUAUUGUGCCGUGUGAGUCGUGAGAUGGCUUGGUGAAUUUCUUAUGUGUUGAGGUUCCGCGCAGAGAUGAUGUUAUAUGAGCAAAAUGGCUCUCGAGAUUCAGAUCAUAUAUCGCACCUCAGUUGUGCUUGAGUUUUGUAGCCUAUGACGUUAUAUGUCUCCCCAGGGAUGGUAUUAUGCACUUAGUGUGCUUGUGACCGAUAUUCGGUAUUUUUUGUAACGAGCAAUCUAGCUCGGUGUGUAACUCCUUUGUGAAUUUUAUGUGUGGAUUGGGUGGCACACCGCCAUGGGUAUGCUGUUUGGAUUGGGUUGCGCGCUACAACAGUGUGAUGUUGAGUACAAAUUCCUAUAUCUGUUUUUAUGUGUUUUGUUUCCUAUCUUUCUGAGGAAAACUCAUAUUAGCUGUAUGCCCACGUCGCAUGUAUGAUUCACGAGCGGGGUGUUUGUUUAAUUAUGUUGACCGCAUCUCAUGUAUGAUUCGCGAGCGGGGCAAUUGGAUUUCCUUUUUAGAGUUCAUUUUCCUUUGUAUCACGUUCGAAUUGGUAGCCUAUUGGAACAUUGUGGCAUCAUAUAAGACUUUUGAUCAUGUCCGGGAUGGCUUAUUGCCUGAGCAGUUCGUACUAGGUGAGACAAGAUCAUUGGAUUUAGGAUCAGUGCAAGCUGAUUAUAUGAAGUAUAUUAAGGAGCAAAGACCAUUAUUUGGUUCAGAAUGAGGUGAUGGUUUUUGUUAGGAGUACAAACCUAAUGAUUUAUUGAUUCAGCAGUUGGUUAUGAAUUUCUACAUAUCUCUUUCAUCGUGGCGGAAUUGUAAGAGUUAGNNNNNNNNNNNNNNNNNNNNNNNNNNNNNNNNNNNNNNNNNNNNNNNNNNNNNNNNNNNNNNNNNNNNNNNNNNNNNNNNNNNNNNNNNNNNNNNNNNNNNNNNNNNNNNNNNNNNNNNNNNNNNNNNNNNNNNNNNNNNNNNNNNNNNNNNNNNNNNNNNNNNNNNNNNNNNNNNNNNNNNNNNNNNNNNNNNNNNNNNNNNNNNNNNNNNNNNNNNNNNNNNNNNNNNNNNNNNNNNNNNNNNNNNNNNNNNNNNNNNNNNNNNNNNNNNNNNNNNNNNNNNNNNNNNNNNNNNNNNNNNNNNNNNNNNNNNNNNNNNNNNNNNNNNNNNNNNNNNCGUUUUGAGUUCUAGCAUGUCGUUCAGUAGUUUGAGGCCAUGAGAAUCUUCACUUCAGGUAUUAUGACUUGUGCAUACGGUCGGAAAUGAAUUCCGGGAAGUUUGGAGUUGAUUUGAAAAGAGAAUUCUCAUUUCGGAAGCUUUAAGUUGAAAGAAUUGACUACGAUUGGAUUUUUGAGUAAACGACUUCGGAAUCAGGAUUCGAAGGUUCCAACAGGUUCGUAUGAUGAUUUCGGAAUUGGGCGUAUGUCCGGACCGGGUUUUGGAGGACCCGGGAACGUUUUGGCGCCUAUUGUGGAAGUUAGCAUUUUUUGAGGAAUUUCAUAAGUUUGGGUUGAAGUGCAUUUUAGUGUUAUCAAUGUCCGUUUGGGAGUCCGAGUAUGGGAAUAGCUCCGUAUGGUGAUUCUGGUAUUGGGAGUGCGAUCGGAAGUGAAUUCGGAGGUCCGUAGGUCAUUUUGGAGUCAUUUCGCUAAAGAUAGAAAUUUGAAGGUUUUUGAGAAUUUUGACCGGAAGUGGACUUUCUGAUAUCGGGGAUGGAAUCCAAUUCCGGAAGUUGGAGUAGGUCCGUAAUGUCAAAUAUGACUUGUGUGCAAAAUUUGAGGUCAAUCGUACGUGAUUUGGUAGGUUUCGUCAUCGAAUGUAGAAGUUUGAAAUUCUAAAGUUCCUUAUGCUUGGAUUGGGGGUCGAUUCAUGAUUUUACCGUUGUUUGAUAUGAUUCGAGGCCUCGAUCAAGUUCGUAAUGUGUUUUGGGACUGGUCAGUAUGAUUGGUUGGGGUUCCGGGGGCCUCAGGUGGAUUCCGGAUGGUUAAUGAAUUAAUUUUGGAAAUUGGAAGAGGAAGUGCAGCAGCUGUCUUCUGGUGUAAAUGCACCUGCGAGGCUUGGGCCGCAGGUGCAGAGCUGCAGAAGCGGCCAGGAGAGCCGCAGAUGCGAUUUUGGCUGGAAGUGUGAGGACCGCAGAUGCGGUCAUCUCGCCGUAGAAGCGGGACCGCACCUGCGGGAGUCGAGGAGCAGAAGCAGAAAUGGGAGCCCAGAGAGAAACCGCAGGAGCGGUCGUGUGACCGCAGGUGCGGAAUUGCUGGAAGCAGUAAGGUCUUUAAUAAUCGGGGCUCUUGGCCAUUUUUCUCCAUUUUACUCUUGUUUGGGCGAUUUUUGGAGAGCUUCAAGAGAGGAAUUUCAUCAUCAAACAUGAGGUAAGUUAAUUUCACCCCUUGUGAGUUAAAUACAUGGUUUUGUUAGGAAUUUGGGCAUGAAAAUUGGUAGAAACUUGGGGUUUGAGGGGAAACCUAGAAAAUUGAUAUUCUUGGAUUUUGACCACGACUUUGGGUAUGAAACUAAGAGAAAAUCAUAUAAUUGAGUUCGAGAGUGGAUAAACUUUAUNNNNNNNNNNNNNNNNNNNNNNNNNNNNNNNNNNNNNNNNNNNNNNNNNNNNNNNNNNNNNNNNNNNNNNNNNNNNNNNNNNNNNNNNNNNNNNNNNNNNNNNNNNNNNNNNNNNNNNNNNNNNNNNNNNNNNNNNNNNNNNNNNNNNNNNNNNNNNNNNNNNNNNNNNNNNNNNNNNNNNNNNNNNNNNNNNNNNNNNNNGGAGCAUUGUGCAUCGAUUCGAGUAUUCAGAAGGGUGUGGAAUGCCUGUUAUGGAUCUUCGGAGCGAGGUGAGUCUCCUUUCUAACCUUGUAAGAGGGAAUUGUCCCCAUAGGUGAUAUAAUUGGUUAUGUGCUCCUAUAUUUGGGGUUACGUACGCACGAGGUGACGAGAGUCCGUGCAUAUCUACUAUUAUGUAUAAGUCCGGGUAGUCUAGGACCCAAAAGCAUGCUAUACUUGGAAUAUCUGUAAUCUUGUUGGCAGUUGAAUUACUUAAAUCUUAUCGAAUUGAUAAAUGAAUUUCUAUAAGGAUUAAGCUUCUUUUUCAUAAAUCGCUAAAAGAGAAUUGGCUUUUAUUUGGAUAAACGUUCCCCGAUAAAUUCUUAAUUUGCUGUUUGAGCAUGUAUUUCUAUGUGUACCUGCGUCGCAUGUAUGAUUCAUGAGAAGGGUGUUUGUUUAUUUAUGUUGACCGCGUCACAUGUAUGAUUCAGGAGCGGGGUAAUAAAUGCAUCUAUGGUUCGCGUCGUUCGACCCUCGGCAGUGUAUAUUUUACAUUUAUGUUGGAUCGGGCCAUAUGACUCGGCAUGAUUUGCGCAUUCUUGUAUUGCUUGCCUUGAGAGUUAUUGAUAUUGAUAUUUGCUCUCCCCGACUUGAGAUAAUUUUUAAUUAAUGGAUUAUGAAUCUGGAGACUUUUAAUAAAAAAGAACUCUUACCUGUUUCUUGACUUAUUUGAAUUUACUGUUGUUCUUAAUAAAUCCGUGAUUCAUCGCAUUAAUAAUAUUACUAUUGGAAAGCUAGCAAGUGUCGAAGUCGACCUCUCGUCUCUACUUUUUCGAGAUUAGACGGGAUACUCAUUGGGUACACGUUGUUUUCGUACUCAUACUAUACUUGCUGUACAUUUUUGUUGCACAAGUUCAUAUGUGGCUAGUGGCUUAGUGGCAUAUCGAUAUGGUUGAUAUGGAGACAUAGGUGAGUUGAAUUAUCAAGACGAUCCGCAGUCAGCAGAGUCUCCUUCAGAGUAUUGUACUGUAUUUUCAUUUUUGUCCACUUGUAUUCCGGACAUUUACUGUAUUUUACAUCAUUCCCUAGUAAAUGCUCAUGCACUUGUGACACUGGGUUCGGGGAUGAUUAUGGGGUAUCUUGUAUUAACUACUUAACAUUCAUAUUCGAUUUGAAACGAUUAUCUUUUACUGGUAAAAUUGAAGGAAAAUCAUAGUUUUCAAAAUUAUUAAAACGAGAAUUUAAUUAAGUAUUUUGGUUGGCUUGCCUGACAGCGGUGUCCGGUCGUGACAGGACCGGGAAGAGGACUUGGAAACGAGGUAAGUCUUUUGCAUAACCUUGUAAGAGAGAAUUUUCCUUGUAGGUGUUUUAAAUUGUUAUUUGCUAAAUAAUUGUGGGUUCUACAUACAGCGCGAUGUGACAAAAGUCCGUAAGUAACUAAAAUUAUGCUUAUGUCCGGGUAGACUUAUGACUUU